CGCGGAAUUUUAGAUAAUGGAGGGAACUCUGAUCUAGCGACGCCGCGUGCAGGAAGAAGGUCUUCGGAUUGUAAACUGCUGUGGUAAGGGAAAAAUGCUAUGUAGAGUGGAAAGCUACAUAGAGGGAUGGUACCUUACUAGAAAGCCCCGGCUAACUACGUGCCAGCAGCCGCGGUAAUACGUAGGGGGCGAGCGUUACCCGGAAUCACUGGGCGUAAAGGGAGCGCAGGUGGCCUAACAUGUCAACUGUGAAAACCCGGAGCUCAACUCCGGACUUGCAGUUGAAACUGGUAGGCUUGAGGACGGUAGAGGAAGACGGAACUGCCAGUGUAGGGGUAAAAUCCUUAGAUAUUGGCAGGAACGCCGGUGACGAAGGUGGUUUUCUGGGCCGGUUCUGACACUGAGGCUCGAAAGCCAGGGGAGCGAACGG
rnacentral:rRNA from 1 species